UACAGAGGUGGCAAGCGUUGUUCGGAAUUACUGGGCGUAAAGCGCGUGUAGGCGGCUCUUCAAGUCAGGCGUGAAAGCCCCGGGCUCAACUCGGGAACUGCGCUUGAUACUGUCGAGCUAGAGUGUGGAAGGGGCGAUUGGAAUUCCGUGUGUAGCGGUGAAAUGCGUAGAUAUCAGGAGGAACACCGGUGGCGAAGGCGGGUCUCUGGGCCGUAACUGACGCUGAGGAGCGAAAGCGUGGGGAGCGGACAGG
rnacentral:rRNA from 1 species